rnacentral:rRNA from 1 species
GCAAGUCGAACGGUGAAAGAGGAGCUUGCUCUCUGAUUCAGCGGCGGACGGGUGAGUAAUGCCUAGGAAUCUGCCUGGUAGUGGGGGACAACGUUUCGAAAGGAACGCUAAUACCGCAUACGUCCUACGGGAGAAAGCAGGGGACCUUCGGGCCUUGCGCUAUCAGAUGAGCCUAGGUCGGAUUAGCUAGUUGGUGAGGUAAUGGCUCACCAAGGCUACGAUCCGUAACUGGUCUGAGAGGAUGAUC